rnacentral:rRNA from 1 species
GACGAACGCUGUUGGCGUGCUUAACACAUGCAAGUCGAACGGAAAGGCCCUGCUUUUGUGGGGUGCUCGAGUGGCGAACGGGUGAGUAACACGUGAGUAACCUGCCCUUGACUUUGGGAUAACUUCAGGAAACUGGGGCUAAUACCGGAUAGGAGCUCCUGCUGCAUGGUGGGGGUUGGAAAGUUUCGGCGGUUGGGGAUGGACUCGCGGCUUAUCAGCUUGUUGGUGGGGUAGUGGCUUACCAAGGCUUUGACGGGUAGCCGGCCUGAGAGGGUGACCGGCUACAUUGGGACUGAGAUACGGCCCAGACUCCUACGGGAGGCAGCAGUGGGGAAUAUUGCACAAUGGGCGGAAGCCUGAUGCAGCAACGCCGCGUGCGGGAUGACGGCCUUCGGGUUGUAAACCGCUUUCGCCUGUGACGAAGCGUGAGUGACGGUAAUGGGUAAAGAAGCACCGGCUAACUACGUGCCAGCAGCCGCGGUGAUACGUAGGGUGCGAGCGUUGUCCGGAUUUAUUGGGCGUAAAGGGCUCGUAGGUGGUUGAUCGCGUCGGAAGUGUAAUCUUGGGGCUUAACCCUGAGCGUGCUUUCGAUACGGGUUGACUUGAGGAAGGUAGGGGAGAAUGGAAUUCCUGGUGGAGCGGUGGAAUGCGCAGAUAUCAGGAGGAACACCAGUGGCGAAGGCGGUUCUCUGGGCCUUUCCUGACGCUGAGGAGCGAAAGCGUGGGGAGCGAACAGGCUUAGAUACCCUGGUAGUCCACGCUGUAAACGGUGGGUACUAGGUGUGGGGUCCAUUCCACGGGUUCCGUGCCGUAGCUAACGCUUUAAGUACCCCGCCUGGGGAGUACGGCCGCAAGGCUAAAACUCAAAGGAAUUGACGGGGCCCCGCACAAGCGGCGGAGCAUGCGGAUUAAUUCGAUGCAACGCGUAGAACCUUACCUGGGUUUGACAUGGAUCGGGAGUGCUCAGAGAUGGGUGUGCCUCUUUUGGGGUCGGUUCACAGGUGGUGCAUGCCUGUCGUCAGCUCGUGUCGUGAGAUGUUGGGUUAAGUCCCGCAACGAGCGCAACCCUUGUUCACUGUUGCCAGCACGUUAUGGUGGGGACUCAGUGGAGACCGCCGGGGUCAACUCGGAGGAAGGUGGGGAUGACGUCAAGUCCUCAUGCCCCUUAUGUCCAGGGCUUCACGCAUGCUACAAUGGCUGGUACAGAGAGUGGCGAGCCUGUGAGGGUGAGCGAAUCUCGGAAAGCCGGUCUCAGUUCGGAUUGGGGUCUGCAACUCGACCUCAUGAAGUCGGAGUCGCUAGUAAUCGCAGAUCAGCAACGCUGCGGUGAAUACGUUCCCGGGGCU